GGACUUUUUGGUGGAAUUGGGGGUUUUUUUAUGGAUUUGGGAUUUUUUUGCCAGAUUUACCAUUAUUUUUUGGUGGGAUUUGGGAUUUUGGGGGGGAUUUGGGAUUUUUUGCAGGAUUUGGGAUUUUUUUUUUUUUGUGGCAUUUUUGGGGUUUUUUUGUUGCUAUUUGGGUUUUUCAAUCCCUGUGGAUUCGGGGGAUUUUUGGGAAUGUUGGGAACGUUUGGAUCCCGUGGUUCCCCCCUGGGUGAUCCCAAGGUUCCUCACUGGGGUUUGUGGGAUCCCUGCCUCAGUUUCCCUUUGGAACGCCGGGGCCUCCGUCCCCAUUUCAGGGCCCGUUCCCGUUAUCCCAACCCCAUUCCAGUUUAUCCCAACCCCAUUCCAGUUUAUCCCGGCCCCAUUCCCAAUCCCAUUCCCAGUUCCCAUUCCCAGUUCCCAUUCCCAGUUCCCAUUCCCAGUUCCCAUUCCAGGUUCCCAUUCCCAGUUCCCAUUCCCAGUUCCCAAAUCCAUUCCAGUUUAUCCCAAUCCCACUCCCAGUUCCAAAUCCCAUUCCCAGUAUCCCAGUCCCAUUCCCGGCCCCAUUCCCAAUUAUCCCAAUCCCAUUCCAGUUUAUCCCAACCCCAUUCCCAAUUAUUCCAACCCCAUUCCCAACUGUCCCAAUCUC
rnacentral:lncRNA from 1 species